AUGCAUUUAUUUUCAGUGUGCUGGGUAUAAAUAUGCAAGUGCUGACAUGGGCUGCAUUUUUCAAUUUUAUGGCCAAGUGACGUCUACAGCCGACUGAUAAAUGGAAGCUUUGAGGAGGGGGCUUGCCACAAUCCAGCCUGGCAUGAAAGGGUCCCAAGGAAAGGUAGCGAUGGGGUAUUGAGUCAGUGGUGAAACCAAAGCUUAUUUAUCUUUGGCAAUUCUUCUGUCUAUGACUCUUUGCUAUUCUAAGGCCAAAUGCCUUUGGUUUCUGGAUGUCUGCCCAACAAGGUAAGCUAAUGCCCAGGAAUCAUUAGGCUACGUAGUGGUGACAGAAAAGGCACAUCAGCUGCUUUUAAGAAGCAAUCCUAAGAUGAAGUCUGACCUUGCCUCUCAGAGCUCAUCCAUCAUAAGCUAUGCGAAAACAGUGAGUGGGCCACCUCCAGGAAAGUCACCCACUAGCCCUCACCUCUCCUGGAUGGCUCCUGAAAGGGGGUUAAGUAUUUUCUAUAACAAAAUAAAAUCUAAUAAGA
rnacentral:lncRNA from 1 species